ACUUGAGGAAUUUUUAAGAAUACGAUAUUGAAGCUAUCGAGGAAGCGGAAGCUCGCAAG
rnacentral:tRNA from 1 species